UCUGCAUACAGUAUUCAAGAUGUGGGCCUAACAUGGAUAGAGAGGCAAUAUGAUAUUUUAUAUCUUAUUAUCUAUCCCUUUCUUAAUGAUUCCCAAUAUUCUCUCAGCUUUCUUGACUGCCACUGCACAGAGUGGAUGUUUUCAGAGAACUAUCCACAAUGACUCCAAGAUCUCUAUCUUGAGUGGUAAAAGUUAAUUUAGAUCCCCAUCAUUUUAUAUGUAUAGUUGGGAUUAUGUUUUCCAAUGUGCAUUACUUUGCAUUUAUCAACAUUAAAUUUUAUCUGCCAUUU